CACGUAGUUAGCCGGGGCUUCUUAGUCAGGUACCGUCUGUUUCUUCCCUGCCGAUAGGGCUUUACGCACCGAGGUGCUCCUUCACCCACGCGGCGUCGCUGCAUCAGGGUUCCCCCCAUUGUGCAAUAUUCCCCACUGCUGCCUCCCGCAGGAGUCUGGGCCGUGUCUCGGUCCCAGUGUGGCCGUCCGCCCUCUCAGGCCGGCUACCGAUCGUCGCCUUGGUGGGCCGCUGCCCCGCCAACUAGCUAAUCGGACGCGGGCCCAUCGCGCACCGUCCGGGUCGCCCCGGGCUUUCCCCGCAGGGCCAUGCGGCCCCCCGGGAAUAUGCGGUAUUAGCGGCCGUUUCCGGCCGUUGUCCCCCUGUGCGCGGCAGGUUGCCCACGCGUUACUCACCCGUCCGCCACUGGCCGCGCCUUCACUAGGUUUCAGGCGCGGCCCGUUCGACUUGCAUGUGUUAGGCACGCCGCCAGCGUCAUCCUCAGCCAGAGUACAAACUACUCUGUAGACUGCCAACGGACGACACAA
rnacentral:rRNA from 1 species